rnacentral:rRNA from 1 species
GAUGAACGCUGGCGGCGUGCCUAAUACAUGCAAGUCGAGCGAAUGGAUUAAGAGCUUGCUCUUAUGAAGUUAGCGGCGGACGGGUGAGUAACACGUGGGUAACCUGCCCAUAAGACUGGGAUAACUCCGGGAAACCGGGGCUAAUACCGGAUAACAUUUUGAACCGCAUGGUUCGAAAUUGAAAGGCGGCUUCGGCUGUCACUUAUGGAUGGACCCGCGUCGCAUUAGCUAGUUGGUGAGGUAACGGCUCACCAAGGCAACGAUGCGUAGCCGACCUGAGAGGGUGAUCGGCCACACUGGGACUGAGACACGGCCCAGACUCCUAUGGGAGGCAGCAGUAGGGAAUCUUCCGCAAUGGACGAAAGUCUGACGGGGCAACGCCGCGUGAGUGAUGAAGGCUUUCGGGUCGUAAAACUCUGUUGUUAGGGAAGAACAAGUGCUAGUUGAAUAAGCUGACACCUUGACGGUACCUAACCAGAAAGCCACGGCUAACUACGUGCCAGCCGCCGCGGUAA